AAUGGUCGCAAUGGCAGCGGCAAUCAUGUUUCCCAUCCAUUGAUUUUCGGGGUGAAUAUGAAAAUAGAAUUGACAUU
rnacentral:sRNA from 12 species